rnacentral:rRNA from 1 species
AUUGAACGCUGGCGGCAGGCCUAACACAUGCAAGUCGAGCGAGCGGCGGACGGGUGAGUAAGGUCUGGGAAACUGCCUGAUGGAGGGGGAAGACUAAUGGAAACGGUAGCUAAUACCGCAUACCAUCAGAUGUGGCCAGAUGGUAUUAGCUAGUAGGUGGGGUAACGGCUAACCUAGGCGACGAGCCCUAGCUGGUCUGAGAGGAUGACCAGCCACACUGGAACGGAGACAGGGUCGAGACUCAUACGGGAGGCAGCAGUGGGGAAUAUUGAACAAUGGGCGCAAGCCUGAUGCAGCCAUGCCGCGUGUGUGAAGAAGGCCUGCGGGUUGUAAAGCACUUUCAGCGGGGAGGCGUUACCCGCAGAAGAAGCACCGGCUAACUCCGUGCCAGCAGCGCGGUAAUUC